ACGAAAGAAGGACAUAAUCCUUGCUUCUUUGCCCAAAGGUGGUACAACUUGGCUCAAAUCUAUAGUCUUUGCCGUUUUACAUAGAGAAAAAUACCGCGAAAAUCCCCAAACACAUCCUUUGCUCUCACAAAACCCUCAUGACCUUGUCCCAUUUCUUGAGAUUGAGCUAUACGCUGGUAGCCAAACUCCUGAUCUCACAAAGUUUCCCUCUCCUAUGAUCUUUUCUACACACAUGCACUUGAAUACAUUGCUUGAAGCCACCACAAAGUCUUCUUCUUCUUCCUCGCCUUGCAAAAUCGUGUACGUGUGUAGAGGUAUCAAAGACACGUUUGUCUCCGCUUGGCAUUAUAGGAACAAGUUGCAUCGCACCGAGAUGGAUCAAGCCAGUUUUGAGCUCAUGUUUGAUGCUUACUGUAGAGGAGUUCACUUAUACGGACCCUACUGGGAGCACAUAUUGAGCUACUGGAAAGGGAGCUUAGAAGAUAAGGAGCAUGUCCUAUUUAUGAAGUAUGAAGAGAUCAUUGAGGACCCUCGCCUUCAAGUCAAGAGACUCGGUUGAAAUUUUCAAAGCAACCAAUCAAAAAGUAUUUUCUCUUCGUCUUUUUCCAUUAUCAUUUCUCAGUGUCCAGAGAGAAUCACAAUGGAGGCUUCUCAAGAACCUCACCUUCCAAGUUACAUGAAAGACGACAACGUUAGCCAGGAAACCAAGAACUUGAUAUCUUCUCUUCCCUCAGACAAAGAUUUUAUGGGUUACAGUCUGUACAACUACAAAGGUUGUUGGUACUAUCCCAACACACUCCAAGCCGUUCUUGACGUCCAAGAGCAUUUCCAGCCACGAAAGAAGGACAUAAUCCUUGCUUCUUUGCCCAAAGGUGGUACAACUUGGCUCAAAUCUAUAGUCUUUGCCGUUUUACAUAGAGAAAAAUACCGCGAAAAUCCCCAAACACAUCCUUUGCUCUCACAAAACCCUCAUGACCUUGUCCCAUUUCUUGAGAUUGAGCUAUACGCUGGUAGCCAAACUCCUGAUCUCACAAAGUUUCCCUCUCCUAUGAUCUUUUCUACACACAUGCACUUGAAUACAUUGCUUGAAGCCACCACAAAGUCUUCUUCUUCUUCCUCGCC
rnacentral:lncRNA from 1 species